GUAUGGUGCUAGCGUUAUCCGGAUUUACUGGGUGUAAAGGGAGCGUAGGUGGCAAGGCAAGCCAGAAGUGAAAACCCGGGGCUCAACCGCGGGAUUGCCUUUGGAACUGUCAUGCUAGAGUGCAGGAGGGGUGAGCGGAAUUCCUAGUGUAGCGGUGAAAUGCGUAGAUAUUAGGAGGAACACCGGAGGCGAAGGCGGCUCACUGGACUGUAACUGACACUGAGGCUCGAAAGCGUGGGGAGCAAACAGGAUUAGAUACCCUGGUAGUCCACGCGGUAAACGAUGAAUACUAGAUGUCGGGUAGCAAAGCUACUCGGUGUCGUCGCAAACGCAAUAAGUAUUCCACCUGGGGAGU
rnacentral:rRNA from 1 species